GUGGGGAAUCUUAGACAAUGGGGGAAACCCUGAUCUAGCCAUGCCGCGUGAGCGAUGAAGGCCUUAGGGUUGUAAAGCUCUUUCAGCUGGGAAGAUAAUGACUGUACCAGCAGAAGAAGCCCCGGCUAACUCCGUGCCAGCAGCCGCGGUAAUACGGAGGGGGCUAGCGUUGUUUGGAAUUACUGGGCGUAAAGCGCACGUAGGCGGACCGGAAAGUCAGAGGUGAAAUCCCAGGGCUCAACCUUGGAACUGCCUUUGAAACUCCUGGUCUUGAGGUCGGGAGAGGUGAGUGGAAUUCCGAGUGUAGAGGUGAAAUUCGUAGAUAUUCGGAGGAACACCAGUGGCGAAGGCGGCUCACUGGCUCGAUACUGACGCUGAGGUGCGAAAGCGUGGGGAGCAAACAGGAUUAGAUACCCUAGUAGUCC
rnacentral:rRNA from 1 species